UACGUACUGUGCGAACGUUAUUCGGAAAUCACUGGGCUUAAAGGGUGCGUAGGCGGCCCGCUAAGUAGGGUGUGAAAUGCCAGAGCUCAACUUUGGCAUUGCGCUCUAGACUGACGGGCUUGAGUGAGAUAGGGGUGUGCGGAACUUCCAGUGGAGCGGUGAAAUGUGUUGAUAUUGGAAGGAACGCCGGUGGCGAAAGCGGCACACUGGGUCUUAACGUGACGCUGAGGCACGAAAGCCAGGGUAGCGAACGGG
rnacentral:rRNA from 1 species